rnacentral:tRNA from 1 species
GGGGUUGUGGCUCAGCGGUAGAGUUCUUGCCUCACACGUGCAAGACUCUGGGUUCGAUCCUCAGCACCACA